rnacentral:rRNA from 1 species
GACGAGGGAUCCUAGCGUUGUUCGGAAUCAUUGGGCGUAAAGCGGGUGUAGGUGGCUUUGUAAGUCGAGUGUGAAAGCCUGGGGCUCAACCCCAGAAGUGCAUUCGAUACUGCGAAGCUUGAGUGGUAGAGAGGUUAGUAGAAUUGUUGGUGUAGUGGUGAAAUACGUAGAUAUCAACAGGAAUACCGGAGGCGAAGGCGGGUCUCUGGACAGUUCCUGACGCUGAGGCACGAAGGCCAGGGGAGCAAACGGG